rnacentral:lncRNA from 1 species
AAAUACAAGUACUAUGGAUGGAAUUGUUUGCUUUGAAUCUAAAUUUUUACAAAUGUGUACGACAUAUAGAAGAAGAAUUCUUAGUGUACACAUUUGAGAUAAACGAUAAUACAAUGAUAAAGAUAGAAAAACAGAGUGAGGAUAAAUUUAAAAUGUUAUUAAAAUUGAACGAUGCAAACGAUAAACCAAUUAAAUGUUGUUUGGUAGGUAUUAAGGAAAAGAUGAUGUCAAUAUGUGAUAAUAUAGUACAAAGAAUCUUGUUAUCCAAAUAUAUAAAAUAUUUAAAAACAAAGAAUAUAGAUACUGUUUAUAAUGCUGCAAUGUUUUUUUUAUAUGAUAAAAGAUUAUUAGACUUAAAAAAUGUAAAAUAUGAUACCGAUGCAGAUUCUAUCAUUUUUUCCUACUCAAAAAAUGUAACAAAUAUACAUAGCAUUAAUUUAUCAAAUAGGAAAAUGAAUAUUUUACAAUUACAUGAAUUUUUAACAAAUUCAAAUAUUAAACAAUGUUAUACUCUAAACUUAACAAUGAAUCCAUUAUUUUCUGAGGAAACUGAAUUAAGUACAGUUCAAAAUGAAAUAAAUGAUAUCAUUAGUAUUUUGAAAAAUAUUAAUUUAAAUGAACUUAUUUUGGAUUUUAUUAACGUAUCAAACACAUGUGGUGACUAUUUUAUUUCUAAUUUAAUAUUAAACACAGAUAUCCUUUUUUUAAGUCUAUUAAAAUGUAAUUUAAAAUCUAUUAAUAUAACUAAUAUUACGAAUACAAUACUUGACAAAAGCAACCCUUCUAUGUUAUAUGCAAUAACACACUUAAAUGUCGAGUUCAACGGAUUAAUUUAUCAUGAUAUUAAAACACUUAUAAAAACAUUACAAAAAAUAAAUAAAAAUUUUAAAAAAUUAUACAUUUAUGGUAAUUUAAUACAAACUGAUAUUUUCGAAGUUUCUUACUAUUUUAAACAAAGAAAAGCAAUUAUUGAAGCAAAAAAAUAUUACAGACACGUAUUAAACAUUUUUCAUUUUAAUAACAUUUAUAAAAUCAAAUUGCAUGUUUCUUGUAGUUUAAGAGGUAUUGCCGAAUGGAUAAAAACGGUGAGUCCUGCGUUGUCAUUUCUAUUAUGUUAGUGUUAUUUUGUUAUUAUAAUUCGCUUUUUUUUU